rnacentral:rRNA from 1 species
GACAAACGCUGGCGGCGUGCCUAACACAUGCAAGUCGAACGAGAAAGUCGGCUUCGGCCGAUGAGUACAGUGGCGCACGGGUGAGUAACACGUGGGUAACCUACCUCUAGGUGGGGGAUAACACACCGAAAGGUGUGCUAAUACCGCAUAAUACGACGUUAUAGAUUAUGAUGUCGUCAAAGGUGGCGUAAGCUGCCGCUGAGAGAUGGGGCCCGCGGACCAUUAGCUUGUUGGUAGGGUAAUGGCCUACCAAGGCUGCGAUGGUUAGCUGGUCUGAGAGGAUGUCCAGCCACACUGGAACUGAGAUACGGUCCAGACUCCUACGGGAGGCUG